GCCGGUGUGGCUCAGUGGAUAGAGCGUGUCGGCCUGAGGACUGAAGGGUCCCUGGUUUGAUUCCGGUCACGGGCA
rnacentral:tRNA from 1 species